UUCCUCCCAUCUACAGUCAAAUUCCGUUUACCCACGACCAUCGCCAAUCGUCUAUGAUCAUCCAAUACUCCUCCGAUCGCUAAAAAAACUGUAUAAUCCUCUCUCUUUCGACGCCACUCACCACUGAAGAGGAAGAUCAGUAAACAACAAAAACCACCUCUCCUUGUGACGACCACCGCUAUUGCCGGAGACCCAAGCUCGAACCCCCUAUUUCCUAUCCUCCUCCAUCUUUCCUCAUCCUUGUUCAUCACUUCAGUCAUCGCUUCAUGCUUUCCUUCGAACUGGCAAGCAUCGACACUCAUCCUUGCAAGAGGAAUGGACUUGAUAGCUGAGGACAUGGAAAAGAAAGGUAAGAGGAGACUCUGAUUGUCAUAUUCUUUGUAAUUGUAAAGAUAUAACGAUUUGGGUCUGGCCAUUUUCAUGGUUUCUAAGUUUCUUGUUAUUUCUGACCAUAAAGACGGGGAAUUGUUCAUAGUGAUUUAAAGAUUUAUGUAGUAUCGUAUAUGUAAUGUAAUGUUCAUACUUAAAGAUGGCAAGGAUGUUAUUUGUUGAAUUAUAUGUACAUUUCUGUUGUGCUUUGACAUAACCAUGAAAUAAAGGUCUGUUUGUGUGGAACUGAAUUUGGUUUUUGUUUAAUUUCUUUACAUUUUCAGUGAUUAUACCAUACUAAGUCAGAUUUGAUCAAUGUACUGUAAGCAGAACUAGAGUGCAAACAAGUCUUAUUUUCUUGCUUGAUGUAAAUUACAUUUUUUUGAGAAAUGGUGUAAAUUACAUUGAUGUGUCUUCUUCUUCUGUUAACUUUAUUUGAAGACACUCACUGCCAAUCUGUUGAUUAUGUUGUUUCAGUACCGACGCUGCUCCCUUCGAACUCGCACUCGGUUAGUAAUUUUAGUAUUUUUUUUUUCAGUCGCUGUUGAUUAUAUUUAUUAUGUUGUUUCUCUCUUCCUUCUUUCCUUAUAACCCUUUGAACUUGGCUGUUGAUUAUAGCUGUUUUUGUUUUUGGCUGUGUUGGAUAUGGCUGGGUUUGUUUUCUGUAAGGGAAAACAAAAUUGUUUUUUACUUCCCUAUAUCAUCCCAAGGUUUAGUCAUGGAAUUCUUGGGUGCUUCAGUUUAUUACUAUUAGAACAAUCUUCUGUGUAAAUAAAAUAAAUUGAAACUAAAUCAAACAAAAUAAAAUAAAUAACUUAUAGAAUUUAUUUUAUCGAACCGAAUGAAAAAUAAAAGACCAAGUCGA